GGCCUACGGGGGGCAGCAGUGAGGAAUAUUGGUCAAUGGGCGCAAGCCUGAACCAGCCAAGUCGCGUGAGGGAUGGCGGUCCUAUGGAUUGUAAACCUCUUUUGUCGGGGAGCAAGGCCCGCCACGUGUGGCGGGAAGGAGAGUACCCGAAGAAAAAGCAUCGGCUAACUCCGUGCCAGCAGCCGCGGUAAUACGGAGGAUGCGAGCGUUAUCCGGAUUUAUUGGGUUUAAAGGGUGCGUAGGCGGACGCUUAAGUCAGCGGUAAAAUUGCGGGGCUCAACCUCGUCGAGCCGUUGAAACUAGGG
rnacentral:rRNA from 1 species